ACAAACUUGGUCAUUUAGAGGAAGUAAAAGUCGUAACAAGGUUUCCGUAGGUGAACCUGCGGAAGGAUCAUUACUGAAUUUAAUGCUAGGGUUGUAGCUGGCUCUAACACAGCAUGUGCACACUCUGGCUAUCCAAAUUCUUACACCUCUGUGCACCUCUCAUAAGACAAGUAGCUUGGCUGCAUGAACAGUUGCACUGUUCAGUGGUCUUUUUGCAUUGUCUUAUGCUUUUACAUUUACACUUUGGUGAUUGAAUGUUACAUUGUGUUAAACACAUUAUAUACAACUUUCAGCAACGGAUCUCUUGGCUCUCGCAUCGAUGAAGAACGCAGC
rnacentral:misc_RNA from 1 species